AUUGUCGUCUUUACAUCUGUCACUCUCGGCCUGUCAAAUAGCUUAUCAGACUGGUGUUGGCUGUUAAGAUUGCAAGGCGACAACAGUCUGAAGGCUGUCUGACAUUUCGGGCUCUUUCAUCU
rnacentral:pre_miRNA from 1 species